rnacentral:misc_RNA from 1 species
GAUGAAGAACGCAGCGAAAUGCGAUAACUAAUGUGAAUUGCAGAAUUCCGUGAAUCAUCGAGUCUUUGAACGCACAUUGCGCCCCCUGGUAUUCCGGGGGGCAUGCCUGUCCGAGCGUCAUUGCUGCCCAUCAAGCACGGCUUGUGUGUUGGGUCCUCGUCCCCCCCGGGGGACGUGCCCGAAAGGCAGCGGCGGCACCGCGUCCGGUCCUCGAGCGUAUGGGGCUUUGUCACCCGCUCUGCAGGCCCGGCCGGCGCUGGCCGACGCGAAAGCAAGCAUUUUUUCUCCAGGUUGACCUCGGAUCAGGUAGGGAUACCCGCUGAACUUAAGCAUAUCAAUAAGCGGAGGA